rnacentral:rRNA from 1 species
UACGUAGGGGGGCAAGCGUUGUCCGGAAUCAUUGGGCGUAAAGAGCGUGUAGGUGGCCCCGGUCAGUCCGCCGUGAAAGUCCAGGGCUCAACCCUGGAAUGCCGGUGGAUACUGCCGGGCUGGAGUCCGGGAAGAGGCGAGUGGAAUUCCUGGUGUAGCGGUGAAAUGCGCAGAUAUCAGGAGGAACACCAAUGGCGAAGGCAGCUCGCUGGGACGGUACUGACACUGGAGACGCGAAAAGCGUGGGGGAGCAAACAGGG